GACGAAGGGGGCUAGCGUUGUUCGGAAUUACUGGGCGUAAAGCGCGUGUAGGCGGUUGUCCAAGUUGGAUGUGAAAGCCUUGAGCUUAACUCAAGAAAUGCAUUCAGGACUGGAUGACUAGAGGACCGGAGAGGAUAGUGGAAUUCCCAGUGUAGUGGUGAAAUACGUAGAGAUUGGGAAGAACACCAGUGGCGAAGGCGGCUAUCUGGACGGUUUCUGACGCUAAGACGCGAAAGCGUGGGGAGCAAACAGGG
rnacentral:rRNA from 1 species